rnacentral:rRNA from 1 species
AGCAGUCGCCGCGGUAAUACGAAAGGGGCUAGCGUUGUUCGGAUUUACUGGGCGUAAAGGGCGCGUAGGCGGACUGAUAAGUCAGGGGUGAAAUCCCAAGGCUCAACCUUGGAACUGCCUUUGAUACUGGGUAUCUUGAGUAUGGAAGAGGUGAGUGGAAUUCCGAGUGUAGAGGUGAAAUUCGUAGAUAUUCGGAGGAACACCAGUGGCGAAGGCGGCUCACUGGUCCAUUACUGACGCUGAGGUGCGAAAGCGUGGGGAGCAAACAGGAUUAGAGACCCGCGUAGUCCCUGUCUCUUAUAC